GCAUGACUAUGGCCCCGGCCAAGCACCUGUGCCUCCCCAGGGCCCAGCAAAGCAUUUUAGAGCUGAGCUAGCCUAAUCCCAGCCCAGCGUGGUUUACAGAGCUCGGGUGUCCCUAAUCCUGAAACCCAAGCCAGGUCCCAGCCAGCCCAGCGCCAGCCAUUCAAGCAAGCAGCAAGAGGACCCCCGCCUUCCAUGUGCCUGUGGUUUGGAGCUGACCCCCAGGAGGGACAGGGCAGGAGCUGGGCACCUGAUGGGUGUGGGUGACUCGGGGACCUGCUGAGCCCUGGCUGCCUGGCUGGACCCGCUCCAGCCUCUCCCCAGGGCUGCCCUGUGGCAACAGCAGAAGCAUCUGGAGAGAUAAAAAUGAUCAACUCUACAAAAAAUAGAAAAGAUACUGUUUGAAGGCACUGAAGAUCAACCAAAAGCAGUCAGAAACUGAAGGGACUCCAACCACUGGGUGAGAUCCACAUUUAUAUGGCUUUUCCAGGUGACCAGAAUGAGCAGAAAGCUGCAGUCCUGUUGGUUUGAGGUGCCAGAGGAUAGCUUGGGUCAGCUAAAGCAUCUGGAAAUGAGGGAGAAAACCCCUGAAAACCUGCACAGCAACUCCUUCCAGAGCCUUGGUUGACGGCUGAACUGCCCACAUAUGAGCGAAACUGAAGGAGAAAGCAGCUGAAGGUGAAAGCAGAGAUUUCAACAAUUGCCCACCGAAGUGGGACAGGGUAUUUGCAUUCCAAGUCCCACCAAGUUCAGGGGCUGUGCAAUCACUGCAGCUCUCUGCUGAAACCACAGCAAGUCCACACCUUAGGAGAAAAAAUUAUGUUUCAAGACUAAUGGGUUUGUGUAGGACUAAAGGCAAAGCUGCAACAGAUCCACUCUCACAAAUAUAAAACCAUGCCUCCAAAAGUUCAAAGGCUUGCUAAAACAAAGGCCAACACACCUCAAAAGAUAGUGAGAGGUUCUCCUGUGGUGCAACAGGUUAAGGAUCCAGUCAUUGCAGCUGCUCAGGUCACUGAUGUAGCACAGGUUCAAUCCCCAGCCUGAGAACUUCCAAAUGCUGUGCGUGCAGCCAAAAAAAGAGCGAGAACUGAACUCAAAGCCUCCACAAAAUGCCAUCAGUGUCUAGGACACAAUUAAAAAAGACUAGUCAUGUGAAGAACAUGAAAAUAUGAUUUCUAGCCAAGAGGAAAAGCAGUUAAUAGAAAACAGCCCCAAAUGAUCCAGAUGUUGGAAUUAAAUUUUAAAACAGCUUUUUUAUGGAGUUCCCAUUGUGGCACAGUGGUAACAAACCUGACUAGUAUCCAUGAGGACGUGGGUUUGAUCCCUGGCCUUGAUCAGUCGGUUAAGGAUCCAGUAUUGCUGUGAGCUGGGGUGUAGGUCACAGACAUGGCUCGGAUCCUGCAUUGCUGUGGCUGUGGUGUAGGUAGGCAGCUGCAGCUGUGAUUCGACCCCUAGCCCAGGAACUUCCACAUGCUGCAGGUAUGGCCCU
ensembl:lncRNA